CUAGAGUCCUCUCUUCAGUCUGAUCACCACUCAGUGCAGGAAAUCUCCAGGCUGAAAGGGAAAGACCCAAAUAAGCAAGAAACAAGGCAAGAACAAGAAAAAUGUACAGUAUUUAAAUAAGGGGAGGUAAAUAUUAGGAGGAUCAGCUAAAGCAGUGGAGAGUGGCUGCCCCAGGGAGCAAGAUUCAGGAGCGAGGAGGAUUGAAACUGCUGAGUUUCAUGGUUUGAUGGCAUUGACUCUGAAUUUGGAUGGAACAGGACUCUCAGACUUCAGUCAGCUCCAUGUUCCCCAGGACUUUUCAAGAGAUGUCCUCAUUUCAGCUAGAUUUCAACCCAGUAGAAGGCUGGAGAAGUGGAGGCCACCCUGGAUCCUAAGAAAAGCUGGCACAGAAAAAGCCUUAUCUCAAGAAAUGGCGCCUUGUUGGGAGUGGACUUCCCUCUCACCAUCCAAUUCCAGGAGUGGUGCAGCAGGCAUAUUGUAACACCGACCAGGAUUUGGAUUCGUGACAGUGUGUCCGCAAACAGGGGUGGUGAGAACAAAUGAGGGAACACAGGCGAGGUGUGGGGAGCAGUCUGCACUCAGAUCCAGGCUCACUAUCAGAAAAAAACACGGCCUAACAACUGUUCUAAAAAAGAAGGUUUAUUAAAAAUAAAUUUUUUAAGUUUUUUUCUAU